CUUCGUUGUCCAUGAUCCAACCGACGAACGUUUAUGUAGAGGCCCAUUUGGCAUUUGCUCCUUUAACAAAAGAAUAAUGCGUCCAUGACUGUGGUGCGGAAAACUACGUGCAAUGCAGAUUGUGAUUCGCUGUAAAAAGAGAGAGAGAGAGAAAAGCAUUGGAAAAGGCUCAAACUUUCGGUUGGCAUUUCCCAUAAAACAAUUGACCCAGUUCUUGGCUUGGCUUGGCGAGUUCGAGAGAUUGAUGGGUUGAUCGAUCAGUUUUGGAGAAUUCCCAGGAGCCCGUUGCGUUGAAUUUCCAUCGCAUGAACAGGAGCAAUCUGGGACUGAGCCUAUUAAUUUGUUUUUGGGAAGAUUGGACGUAAUUCUGUUACUCUUUAAGUUUGAUUCUCGAAGUCACUUGAAUUUUUCUGGGCAUGGCUGCUGGAGAAGCCUCUCAUGAUAAACUGGAGAAGAUACCCCGGGGAUUUGCAGUGGCUUUGUCAUCAGCAGUUCUUGAAUGGCUUCUCAUAUUUGUGCUCUUCAUAAAUGCCCUUUUCUCGUACUUGAUUACAAAAUUCGCUUGUUAUUGCGGGUUGCAAACACCUUGUCUUUUGUGCUCUAGACUUGAUCAUGUUCUAGGUGAUAAAAAGGUUGGAUUUUAUUGGGACAUGAUUUGUGGCAACCACAAGUCGGAGAUUUCAUCCUUGGUUCUCUGCCAUGCUCACAAUAAACUCGCUGAUGUUCAUGGGAUGUGUGAGAAUUGCCUUUUCUCCUUUGCUACAAUUAACAAGUCAAAUGCUGAAACAUACAGAUUGCUGGUGGGUAAAUUGGGAGAGAAUUCUAAUAUUGAAUUGGAAGAGAACAUCUUUUCUGAGGAUCAUAAUCUAUGUAGUUCAAGCAGAACGCGUUGCUCUUGCUGUAAUGAACCAUGGAUUUCAAGAGGUUAUGCCCAAAAAUUGGUGCUCACGAAAUCAAGUGGGUGUGAGUUUGUGGAUCUAGAUGUUCCUUUAUCAGGCAUUGUUGGAUCCUAUCAGUAUAGCCUGAAGAAGAAUGACGAAAGAACAUUACAAGGAGCUCCUCUCCAAAAGGAUGGUGGACUAGAUUCAUUGUCUCAUGUAGAAUACACCAAGCUCAAAAUUACUUCUGAUACCGAGUCAGAUGUCCUGUUUUCAGAUGAUGAUGAAACAGCCAUUCGGCAUCUUAAAGCAGUGUAUCUCAAAGAAGAAUCUGCAAUUGAUUGUGCUCCAAUCAAGCCUCUAAUUGCAGUACUAGGUGAUGAUGCAAAUUCAGAGAAACUUAUAGAUCUGGCUUCGUUGAAUGAACGUUCUCCAGCUUCCCAAGUGCAGUUGGAUGUUGUUGAGGCUCCUGGUGGGAACUCCGUCGCAUCUACUACUGAACAUGGCUUGGGUGAAAUUAAUUGCCAGGGUUCUGAUAAUUCUGAUACCAAUGCCGCUUCAGCUGCUCUACCUGAACUUAUUUCCUUUGAUGACAUUCCUUCUGCGGCAAAUGACACGAGCACUCCUGAGAGAGUACUAAUAGAGAGCUGUGUUACGGGAGCUGAUGAAGAUGAGAGAACAGCAGCAACAUAUUCUGAUGGAGCCAUUAAGGAAGAGACUGACCCAAUUGCAGUAAUUGACAAAGCCGAAACAAAUAUUGUAUGUACUGACCAUAUUGCACAAGCACCAAAUUUUUUGGAUCUUGGCGAUGCCUAUAAGAUAGCUGUAGGCAACAGGGGAAGGCAGUUGUCCGAUGUGCUUGCUGAGCAGUGGCUAGCCAAGGAUUCUUCCAGAGUUAGUGAAGACUUGAAGAACUUGUUCUCUCAGUUAUCUGCUGCUCGAGGGUUUGAGCAAUCUGUAAAUGAUAUUAGUCCAAAAGUGUCUACUAACAGUGAUGAAUUUAGAACGUCUGAUGCUCCUAACUCAACUGCAUUUCAGGUCCUUCAAAAGAAAAUCUCACUCGAGAGAAAUGAGUCUGGUCUUGAGUCUUUAGAUGGGAGCAUAGUCAGUGAGAUUGAAGGUGAAAGUGUGAUUGACCGAUUGAAACGUCAGAUUGAGCAUGAUAAAAAAUCCAUGAGUGCCUUGUAUAAGGAGUUGGAGGAAGAAAGAAAUGCCUCUGCAAUUGCUGCAAAUCAAGCCAUGGCCAUGAUUACUAGACUGCAGGAGGAGAAGGCAACACUCAACAUGGAAGCAUUACAGUAUCUUAGAAUGAUGGAAGAGCAGGCUGAAUAUGAUAUGGAAGCUCUGCAAAAAUCAAAUGACCUACUUGCAGAUAGGGAGAAGGACAUACAAGAUCUUGAAGCAGAGCUUGAAUUCUACAGGAAUAAGUACUCGGACGAGCCAUUGUCUGAGAAUAUUAUGGAGUCGGUUCAUUUAGAGGCCAGUAGUCCUGAAGUUACUGAAAAAGCCAAGGGAAAUGAAAUUUCUGUAGAAGAUAGUGGCCAUGAUAAAGUUGACCAUGCUGAUAGGGUCAUCGGCGAAACCGGAACAGUUGAAUUUACUGAUUCUGCAACCGAGAUUGAAGAAGAAAAAUUACGCAUUUUACUGUUUCUGAAGAAGUUGGAGAAAAAGCUUGGCCUGUCUACUAAGGACAGCAAAAAGUUUGAGUUGGCUAAUGGUGAAUAUUCUGAAAUCAAAGGUGGUGAGGUAUGUGACUUAGAGGAGCUAGACUGCAGAGCAGAGAAUUCCGAAAGCGGUGGCGCGGAAGAUAGUCGUUUAUCUGUGCCAGACGAUGUUUCUCAAUCAAAAGGUAGUUUAAGUUCCCAGGAAGGACAGGGUGCCAUGCCAGAGAAUCCAUUAUUAUUGAGCAAGAAAGAUAAGGAUUUUGUUUCCAUCGAACAAUCUUUAGUGUCGAUUUCUGAAGGGGAUGAGUUGGUUUCUCUUAGAAACGAGGUCCACUCUUUGUAUGAGAGGUUGGAAGCAUUAGAGACAGAUCGUUGUUUUCUUGAACGUACAGUUAAGUACCUCAGCGUUGGAGACAACGGGCUUCAAUUUGUUCAGGAUAUCGCUUCUCAUUUGCAACAGUUACGGAGCAUUGGGACAAGAAGUGAUCAAGCCGUCCCUUGAGAAUUGACGCUGAUGGGUUGUAAAGAGGUGAUGUUGACAGAUGUAGCUGAUUGCUUUAUAAGCACUAGAAGACUGUUCUCGUUCUGCAUUGUACAUAUGUAAGUGAGAGUAGAAUUCUGAUGACCCUAGAAGCACAAAUAUACUAUGGUCAUAGGCUGGGGAGAAACGUGUAUACAGAUUCACAGGAUGUCCGUUCACGGCAUUGCUCAAUGCAAAAGAUCUUGACACCGUACAUCGGGUUGCUCGCUUAGAUCCCCUUUCUUUUUUGCGGCUUGUUUGCGUUUUCCACGAUAGUAUAUGAAAAAUGGUGAGUCUUUGCUUAGUUGAAUCAGAGUUUGAAGAUUCUUUCUUUUCCAUUACAGAAAGAAGAGUUUUGAGUGAUUAAAUUGUACAAGAGUUGAAUUCUAUUUAGAUUCAAUAAUACGAUUCCUAUACUGGUUGACAUUGGAAAGUCAGCUAGUUAUUUUGUACACCGGUGAGAACAGUGAUUUAACCUGUAUAUUUUGUUAUUGCCUCUUGGCUCUAGAUUGAUAUGUCAUAUGCCACUAUUUUCCUUA